rnacentral:lncRNA from 1 species
AUUAUGCUCAGUUUUGAUUUAGUAUGUUCUCAUUAUUAUUGUUUAAUAAGUUUAGUUUUGAUAAUUCGAUGAUGGGAAUUUUGGUUGUGUAUGUGUUUUAAAGCUGUAAUAGGCCCAUUUUGCCCGGGCCCGUUAACAAAAAAAAAAUUAAAAUUAAAAUAAAAAGUCCCAACUUUAACAGUCCAUUUACAGCCCAAAUUUCAAAACUCAUUAACCCCAAAUUAUAGUAGCCUAGUACAAAACCCAACACCCAAUAAAAGCCCAAAAACUAAAAUCCCAAAACUAGCCCAAAUGACCCAAAAUUUCUAUUCCAAAAACUGAAACCCUAGCCAAACAGCACUACAGCUUCCACGAACGUCUCCUCGGGCCACAAGCAACCACCAGUGGCCUUCGCAACAGCCUCCAGCCAGCCGAUUUCAAAGCAGGCUCAUAGGGCCCAAAUGGUGAAGCUUCUGGAAGUCUUCGCAUUAUCGCCCACGAGCAGUUUCUCCAUGCACAGUUGUACCUGCAACGAACUAACAACCACAGCAGCAACCAGUAGAUAACAACAAUACAACAAAAAAAUAAAGAUUUUUUAUUUUAUUUAUUUUUUCCAGAAUAUUCUUGAUGUAUUUUGGCUAUAAAAAGCCGUUGUAAACACUGAAAUCGGGAUUACAAAAUAAAAAAAAAGAGAGGAAAAAGCAAUGAAAAACUAAGGUAAUUUGAUAUUGCAUUUUCCAGUGUUUCAAUUCAUUUUUCUUUUUUCAUUUCUCUACAAAAUCCCUUCGCAUAAAAGAGAAAAAAGGAAAAUGAGAGAUUUACCUUACGAGUGCUAAGAGGUUCCGUCUGUUCCGUUGAAAUCGGAGCAAAGAAGGGAUUUCAUGGCCGAAACCCGCAUCCCUCGAGGUUGGGAUAUGCUAAAUCACCGUUGACAAUGGUGGAUGAGUGUUUAAAACAGGGGAUUAGGUUUAGGUUAAGGAAGAACCAAAUGGAUGCAAGGGUUUAGGUCUGGCCGAAUGUAUAAGGCCUUAGGUUUUGUUUUAUUCUGAUUUGUUUUGUUAGUUUUAGGUUUUUGUACCUUGUUUUGUGCAAGACAUGAAACAGCGUCGUGUAUAGGGAGGGUAGAUCCGCGCGCAAGCCCGAUCCACAGGCUGGAUCCGCGCCUUGGCCUUUCGGAUGGUCAAAUUGCGCGACUAACCCUUCUUCUUCACGCAGACCUUCAAAUUGAUCCUUAUUUAUGCUUUAUUUCUUUUUAAUUCUGUCCUAGAAUUUACAUGUUUUUGCAAUGCAGCCCGCACCUGAACGUUAUUAUUUGGGAUCUGGAAUAUUUUCAAUUUUGAACCCUAGACAUUCGCGCAUAUUGUGCUUUAGUCAUUAUUUCUAUUUCAAUUGUUUUUUUAUUUUGUAAAUUAUCUCUUCUAUUUUAAUUCUGAUUUAAUUGAGUUUUCUAUUUGUAUAAUUUAUUGUUUUAAAAUUCAUUUAAUAUUUUUAUACAUGUGUUGAGUUUUUUAAUAGUUUUACUUUGUUUUUAUUUAUGUAAUUAUUUUGAAGUUUUUUUAUAUAUUAUAUUAUUUUAACAUUUUGCAUAAUAUUUAGUUUAAAUUUUUUUUAUUAUCUGUACAUAUAUUAUUUUGAUUAAGUUUUCUUUUACAUUGUAUAAUUCAUUAUUAUUAUAAAAGUUCACUUAACAUACAUUUUUAAUCCUUGAUUAUUUAUUUUUAUAUUUCUAGUUACUUUAAUAAUUUUACUUCGUUUUUUAAAGUUAUUAUUAAGUUUGUUUAUCUCAUAUUAUUUCGUAUAAUAUUUUGUAUAAAUGUUCUUAUAUUACGUAUAUAAUUUAUGAUAAAGUUAAUUCAAUCUUGUAAUUUAUAUUUUAAUUCCAUGAUAUUUUAUAUAAUUUCUACUUAUAUUUCCUUUUAAAUUUAUUAUAUACAUAAUUUAUUCUUUAAAAGAAAUAUAUAUCAUUAUUUCUUUGUUAGUAAAUAUUCUUUCAUGUACACAUAAUUUUAUUAUAUGUUGGUCUGUUCAUCUUUCAUGAAUCUGUUCAUUCCUUAUUUUUAUUGUAUCUUCAUUAUAUACUGUUUACAUCGAUUUUUUUGUAUAUUAUCAUCUUAAAAUAGAUAUGUAUUGUUUUUAAAUAUUUUUGUAUAUUAUUAGCUCCAAAUUACUUCUUUCACAAUAUUUAUUUUCAUAUUCAUUCACAUAUUCUUAGUUUUAUUUUACACAUGCGCAUCCUUUUAAAUCCAAUCAUGUGUUGAUUCAUUUUCUAAGUUUUCAUAUAUUUAAUAGUUUACAAAUUAUUUCCAAAUUGUUUUCUGUACUAUGUGUCACUUUAGUUUUCAUGUUAUUUCCUGUAUUUUUGUUUUAUAUUGAUUAUUAGCCUUUUGCACUAUUAUUUAGAUCCUGUUAGUUUGUUCUUUUGUUUACUUGUAUAAUAUUUUCGUAUAGUAAUCCAUGUUUGUAACUUUGAUUUUUUCUAUAUUGUUGCAUCGUGAUUCAAAUUUCAAUAUUUUGGUUGAUAUUAGUUGUUUCACUGUUAUUUUAAAACAAAUAAAAGCAUUUUGAGCCAAUUCUCAGUUUUCUUUAUCAUUCAAAAAUUCAGAAAUAAGACAAUAUUCAAUAUUUGGGAAAUUCGGAAAAUGGUACUCAAUCGUACUGGGUAUGAUUUUUCGGUGAACUAAAUAUUUGAAUAACCUUUUUUAGUGUACAAUUUUUCAAAUGUCAAAAAUCAAUUGUCUUUAAAGGUAUAAAGGAUCGUAUCCAAUUGUACUGGGUAUGAUACUGCAUAUCUUUGAAACGAGAGAUUUGUGACUACUAAUUUAAACUAUUUCAAACAUUUUAAAGAAUCAUGCUUUAAAAGAUCUUUCUUCUUAAAAUCUUCGAUAUAAGGAUAGCAUCGAAUCAAUCUGGUACCAAUUUUUGGGCAUAGUGGGGGUGCUAACCCUUCCUCAUACGUAACCGACUCCCGAACCCGUUUUUGAAUUUAUGUAGACCAAAAUUGAUUUAAAAUGUCUUAUUAGGUGAUCCAAUCACACUAAAUAAAAAGAUUGUUGGCGACUCCACAUUUUUUUUGUUUCCAAAAGUCGAUCCCCAUUGCUUUCAAAAUAAAAAGGGUUUCGACAGCUUGGCGACUCCACUAGGGAUUGAACAAAGAGAGUCAGUCCAUAAAAUUGAUUGUUUGUUAUCUUUUUAUCAAAGAAUUGAAAAUUAUGAUUCUUUUAAAUUGCAUUUGUUUUCAUGAUUGCUGUGGUUCGAGUUUUGUAGAAUAAUAUUGCAUUCAUUACAUGACUGUUGUGGUCACACCUUUAAGUGGGAGUAAGAAACUAUGCUUUCGUGAGGUUUACACCUCCGCAUGGGCUAGCGGAUUGCUUUCGGAAUACAUUCGUACCUAUGAUUUCGUGAGAUUUUCAUCUCCGCAUGGUCAUAGGGAAAUGUAUUCCCCUGAAUCGAACUCAAUUCAUAUGAGCAUAUAAUGGGUGAGAAUUGAGGAAUCUAUUGGUUCAGGUACCCUUUCUCUAGAACUGAACCACAUAUAGUGAACCUUGAGAAUCCACCUUACGUAGAACCUUGCCCAAAUUUAGUGGUCACCUGAAUAGGUACUUUAUUUGAUAUUUAUUUCACUUGUACUAACAUGUUUUGUUUAUAAUUGCAUUGCACUACAUUAUCAUAGAAAGGAGGUGUUGAUUCACGUUUAAUUGCUAAAUAGAAUAGCUUGUGAUAAGAAAACGAAUUUCCUGAUGAAGUGGAUUAUAAUACGGUUGUCUAAAUUGACAGAAGAAGGCUGACAGUUCGUGGAGAAAAACAAGUCCUUACCUAAAGAUUCAAGCUGAUAAAGAUUGUUCGAGAGCCGUCACAUCUCAAUUUUCUUAAUGGAGUUAAUCAACGUCAUGAGGAUAAUAAGUCGUAGCCUGGAUCAAGUAGAGAAGAGCUAAUGGAGGCAUUUAUUAGAGGCUUGCGAGAUUUGGAUUUCAUGAAGAAAAGGGAUCAUUGUCUUCGCCUGGAACAUGAAAACAAGGCCAUAUAUGUAAUCCAUUUUAUGUAAAGGGAUUUGUUUUCUAGAAAAGUUGUUCUAAUGGAAUUAAAUUGAAUAUCAACACUUCUCUUUCUUUUGUAUUCAUCCCAUGCAUUUGCAUUGCAUUGCAUCAUUUCAUCAUUUGCAUUAAAUUUUCAUAAAAGGGGUUCCUAAUUAGUUGAAAUCAUUUCAGUUAAACUAGGAACCAAUAAAAACUUACCAACCAAGCAUCGUUACGGUACUCCGGGAAACAAGGAAAAUGAAGUGAACAUCGUUGGUCAACAUAGGUCAGCCAAGGGUUAUAACCACUAAUCAUCAAAGAGAAUCUGAAUGACAUAUCCAAAGAGAAGUCUAGGGAAUAAAGGUUUCCAAACCCUUUUGUACUUGGAAGUGUUUUAAGCAAUGGGACUGUGAAAGAGAUCCUUGUAUUUUUAGAGCUAAUCUAGAGUAAUGUUCAAAACGUGCUUGUUACUUUUAAGCCUAGGGCAAUAAGAAUCCUCUUGUGAAAUAGGCUUGUGUCCAAAAUUUUUAUUUCAAUAAAAUGCAUUCUUUUUGAGUAAAUAUUCUUCCAUUCUUUUUAUAUUCUUUUGUUCUUUGGACUAUUGUCAAACAUGCUUUCAUUCUUCAUUCAUGAUCAUACCAUACAAAUAAUUAUCCUUAGGAUCAUUUAUUCUUUAGAAUUUGCCUUUGUACCUACUAUAGGUCCCCAGAUACCAAUGACAUGAGCAACACUGUAACUGACUCCCUUUUGGGGUGAGAUAGGUGUUUAAGUGGAUCUCAGGACUUUGAAGAUGACAGAGAUUGUAACUUAUUUCUUGAUUUGUUAAGGACGAUAGAACAAGAUGAAAAAACAGAUCCUACUUUACGAAGGGUCAAUGGACAUUGUGAACAAGGGACAAAGAUUGAAAUCCGAGUCACCACAGAGACAAAAUGAAUUGUCUUUGAGUUACUUCAAGAAAUUCAAAGAUGUUUUCACAUGAUCAUGUCGAGAUAUAUUUGAGAUAUUAAGAUCUGUGGAUGAUACAAAAUGUCUAUACAAUGCCAGAAAGACACAUGUUAAAGGUUUCAUGGUAGCCACGCUAAUCAUGAGGUUUGGGUAUUGUUGAUCCACCAUGGAAAGGGAUUGCAUUGGUUAAAGCCACAUUCAUUUCUUCACAGAUUUUCUCUAUAUGGGACAAGGAUGCUAUCAGGCCAUUCUCAUCGAUUCAUCUUAGCAGUCAUUGAUUACUUCACGAAGAGGGUGAAGGUCGCUUCAUAUGUCAAUAUUACAAGACUAAUAGUCAUCAGAUUCAAAAAAAAAAGGAAAAAGGUUGCUGAUAAGUAAUGUUAGAAAGGAUCACUUUCAAAUACAACUGCACAAUGUCAAAAGUUUGCAGUCUGUUCAAAGAUCAGACACUAUAUCACAGUGCAGUAAAGACAUCCAAAAAGAAAAACAAAAGUUCAAAAAUAGAAAAAAGGAAAAGCAAACAAUAGAACAAAGGUCACAGUGAAAAAUGACUGAGUCUUGUAAGGAUUGGCAUAAAGAAGUUAUCAUUUACCCUCUAUGUUUAUCGAACAUGAGCCGAAACCUUCACUGGGGCAACACAGUGAUUUAUAGGACUGAAAUAGUUUUUGAAGACGAGGUUCUUUUUCUUCGAGUCUUGGCACAACUAAAGUUGGAUGAAUCAGAAUGGGUUCAAUCUUGAUAUGAUCAGUCAAACUUAAAAGAUAUCCGUCACAGUCAGAUGAUGCGGGCUUACGACAGAGAAGUUUAUCCUCGAGAAUUCCAUGAGGAGAGCUUGAUAUUUAAGAAGAUCUUUCCUAUACAAAAGGACUUCAAAGGAAGAAAUAUGCCAAACUAAGAAAGACCUUAUGUAAAGAAGCCUUGUUUUGGAGGAGCAUUGAUAUUGACCUAAAGGAUUUGCUCAGUUCGGGGAAUUCAAAAUGCAGUCAAAGAGUGUUCUAUGGGAGAGGCCAAGGUGAAAACCCGAAAAGGGUGCCUUGAGACCUUAAAAUUAAAUCAAAAUAAAAAAAUAGAAAUAAAAAGAAAAAAUCAAAAAAAUGAAAGAAAGAAUCAAUCAAAGAAGUUAAAAAAAAGAAAGAAAAAGGAGAGGCCAAGGCGAAAACCCGCAAAGGGCGCUUUGAGACCAAAGGGGAUUUGAGUUGAAAACUCGAAAAGGGCGGCUCAAAUUUGGAUUAAAGUGGGGUAUACAAUAGUCUUGCUAUGCCUAAAUUAACAAUGAAAGAAGAAUGUUAUGUCUUGGGGCAUUGCAAAGUACUUCGGAUCUCAUAAACGCGUAUUGAGCUCAGAAUGGUCCUCAAGAAGUUGGUUCAGAGAAGCUCAAACUGUGAUAUCUGGGGCACCUAGCUUUCCAUUUUUACCCAUUUUUUGUUUGUUAUCUUUGAUUACCUUGUUCUUUUUAGGUCACGUCCUAAUAGAUUUCUUUCUUGGUUGCAUUUGCUUGUUUGUUUCGAGCUAUGUUCUCAAUUAAUUCCUUUCUUAUCCAUGGUUAUGAUCUUUUUCAAGCAUUUUGCAUUGAAAUAAUGAUUUUUGGACUAAUAAUUCUUUCAUUACUUUGGGGAGUUUCUAAAUAAUACAAGAGCCUGAAAUAGGACUAUUGUUUAAAACUCACCAAGUUUAAGGGUUGGAAAUAUUUAAGCCCAAAUUGAGGUUAUCUCCUUAGAUUUUCUGUCAAAGAUAUUAAUUGGUGUUAUAAUCUCGGCAAAGAAUGAGCAAUGGGAUUGUUCGUGAAGAAAGAAAAUGGUAUUCAUGCAGAUAUCAGACAUAUAUGUCUGUUCAUUAUACCCAGGGAAUGUAACAGAUUCAAUUGUUUAAAGAUAAUGCAAAUUCUAUACCUCUGAGUUGUAACAGGAUGGAUAGAAGAAAUCAAAUCAUUAUUCCCCUGGAGUUGCAGUGGGAAGUUCAAACUUCAUGUCCUAGAAGACUACAGUGUAAGGGACUCUCGAAUUACGGCGGGGCAAGCUUGCUGAGUAGAAUGUGAUUGUUUCUUUGGGUUUUCUGUCAAGAAUACUAGCCGAACAGGAUGGCAGCAUAAUAAAUCAGUGAUAGAGCCUUGGUGAAUAAUGAAUGAUGAUACCUUGAGCAUUUAAAAAAGAUCAUUUUUAAAAAAAAAAAGAUCAUUCAAAAAAGAUCAUUUUCAUUUUUGCAUUCAUAUAUCAUUCAUAACAUGUUAGGAGCAUUUGAUUCAUUUUGAUCAUAGCAUCCUAAUUAUUUGAUAUCAGCAUUACAUCUAGUUAGAAGCAUUUGAUUCAUAGCAUCCUAAUUAUUUGACAUAAGCAUCACAUUUAGUUAGGAGCACUUGAUUCAUUUCGAUCAUAGCAUCCUAAUUAUUUGACAUCAGCAUCAUCUAGUUAGGAGCAUUUGAUUCAUUUUGAUCAUAGCAUCCUAAUUAGUUGGCAUAAGCAUGAUACAUGAAAUCGAGUCUACAGGACAGGUCCAAGAGGAUGAUGUAGUAACAUCAGUGAAGUCAGAUCUUAUAUCCCUGAAGUUGCAGCAGAAUAGAUCAAAGAUUACAAACCUUAUCUCCCUGAAGUGGCAGUGGAGUAGGUUGAAGAUUGCAGGUCUUAUUUCCCUAAGCAGUAGUGGAACAGACCAAAGACAACAAACCUUAUCUCCCUGAGGUUGCAGUGGAGCAGGUUGAAGUGUCAGUUGCAGUAAAGCAAAUCAUAACAAGUCUUAUCUCCCUGAGGUUACAGUGGAGUAGACUGAAGAUUGAAAGAUCUUAUCUCCCUAAGCAGUAGCGGAGCAGAUCGAAGAUGGCAAAUCUUAUCUCCAUGUAUCAGCAAUGGAGCAGAUUUUAACCACUGACCUUAUCUCUCUGAGUUAGCAAGAGAGCAGGUUGAAGAUGAUAGUCUUAUCUUCCUGAGGUGGCAAGGAAGCAGACUGAAGAUUGAAGAUCUUAUCUCCCUAAGCAGUAGUGGAGCGGAUCGAGGAUGGCGAAUCUUAUCUCCAUGUAUCGGCAAUGGAGCAGAUUUUAGCUAUUGACCUUAUCUCUCUAAGGUAGUAAGAGAGCAGGUUGGCAAUUGUAGUCUUAUCUUCUUGAGGUAGCAAGGAAGCAGACUAAAUGUGGAAGAUCUUAUUUCUCUCAACUGAAGCAGACAAAAUGUGGAAGAUCUUAUCUCCAUGUAUCGACAAUGGAGUAGAUCUAAGCCCCAAGAUUUAUUUUCCUGAAGUUGCAGCAGAACAAAUCGCAGAUGGUGAACCUUAUCUCCAUGUAUCGGCAAUGAGGCAGAGUUUAGCCACCAGCCUUAUUUCUCUGAGGUAGCAAGAGAGUAGGUUGAAGAAUGAGUCUUAUCUUCCUGAGAUAGCAAGGAAGCAGACUGAGAAUUGAAGAUUUUAUCUCCCUGAGAUUACAGUGGAGAGAUCUUCAUAGAUGGUGAAUCUUAUCUCCAUGUAUUGGCAAUGGAACAAAUUUUAGCCACUGACUUUAUCUCUCUGAGGUAGCAAAAGAGCAGCGAUUGUAGUCUUAUCUUCCUGAGGUAGCAAGGAAGCAGACUAAAGAUUGAAGAUUGGAGGAUGCAAAUCUUAUCUCUAUGAACUGGCAAUGGAGCAGAUUUAAGCCUCAAGACCUUAUCUCUCUGAGGUAGCAAGAGAGCAAGUUGAAAAUUGUAGUCUUAUCUUCCUGAGGUAGCAAGGAAGCAGACUGAAGAUUGAAGAUCUAUUUCCCUAAAGUAGUUGCGGAGCAGAUUGAAGAUGGCGAAUCUUAUCUCCAUGUAUUGGCAAUGGAGCAGAUUUAAGUCACCAGUCUUAUUUCCCUAAAGUUAUAGUCAAAAUGUAGCAAAACUGGGCAAAAUUGGCCUUAUUUGAAGUCUUUUCUCGUUACACGACAAAAAAAAUUAACCCCAAAUUUAAGUCACCAUUUUGCCCGGGCCCGUUAACAAAAAAAAAUUAAUACAAAAAUAAAAAAUCCCAACUUUAACAGUCCAUUUACAGCCCAAAUUUCAAAACCCAUUAACCCCAAAUUAUAGUAGCCUAGUACAAAACCCAACACCCAAUAAAAGCCCAAAAACUAAAAUCCCAAAACUAGCCCAAAUGACCCAAAAUUUCUAUUCCAAAAACUGAAAUCCUAGCCAAACAGCACUGCAGCUUCCACGAACGUCUCCUCGCGCCGCAAGCAACCACCAGUGGCCUUUGCAACAGCCUCCAGCCAGCAAAUUUCAAAGUAGGCUCAUAGGGCCUAAAUGGUGAAGCUUCUAGAAGUCUUCGCGUUAUCGCCCACGAGCAGUUUCUCCAUGUACAGUGGUACCUGCAACGAACUAACAACCACAGCAGCAAGCAGUAGAUAACAACAAUACAACAAAAAAAUAAAUAUUUUUUAUUUUAUUUUUCCAGAAUAUUCUUGAUGUAUUUUGGCUAUAAAAAGUCGUUGUAAACAUUGAAAUUGGGAUUACGAAAUAAAAAAAAAUGAGGAAAAAGCAAUGAAAAACUAAGGUAAUUUGAUAUUGCAUUUUCCAGUGUUUCAAUUCAUUUUUCUUUCUUCAUUUCUCUACAAAAUCCCUUUGCAUAAAAGAGAAAAAAGGAAAAUGAGAGAUUUACAUUACGAGUGCUAAGAGGUUCCGUCUGCUCCGUUGAAAUCGGAGCAAAGAAGGGAUUUCAUGGCCGAAACCCGCAUCCCUCGAGGUUGGGAUAUGCUAAAUCGCCGUUAACAAUGGUGGAUGAGUGUUUAAAACAGGGGAUUAGGUUUAGGUUAAGGAAGAACCAAAUGGAUG